rnacentral:lncRNA from 1 species
UGUAGCGAUCUGCAGGCACUAAGAACGGAUGAAGGCUCCAUGAGAAUACAGACUAAAGGAAUUACGUUUAUAAGACAUGGCCUAGCCAAACAGGAUAGGGAGAAACAUUUUGGAGCAAAAAUUUUCGUACCUACAUACACUGAGAAUACCUCUUUAGAUCCACGGAAAAGUCUGUUACAAUAUUUAGAUAAAACAAAACCGUUGCGUAAAAAAUUACAACAGGACCAAAGAGGCAAAUUAUUUUUAGCUUUAUGUGAACCUCACAAACCAGUUACCUCUCAGACAAUUUCACAUUGGAUUGUUCAAAUUAUUAAACAGGCUUAUUCUGAUUUUGAAUAUCCAGGGAAAGGGAAAAUACAUGCGCAUUCUACAAGAGCUAUUGGCCCA